rnacentral:rRNA from 1 species
GACGAACGCUGGCGGCGCGCCUAACACAUGCAAGUCGAACGAGCGAGAGAGAGCUUGCUUUCUCAAGCGAGUGGCGAACGGGUGAGUAACGCGUGAGGAACCUGCCUCAAAGAGGGGGACAACAGUUGGAAACGACUGCUAAUACCGCAUAAGCCCACAGGUCGGCAUCGACCAGAGGGAAAAGGAGCAAUCCGCUUUGAGAUGGCCUCGCGUCCGAUUAGCUAGUUGGUGAGGUAACGGCCCACCAAGGCAACGAUCGGUAGCCGGACUGAGAGGUUGAACGGCCACAUUGGGACUGAGACACGGCCCAGACUCCUACGGGAAGCAGCAGUGGGGAAUAUUGCACAAUGGGGGAAACCCUGAUGCAGCUACGCCGCGUGGAGGAAGAAGGUCUUCGGAUUGUAAACUCCUGUUGUUGAGGAAGAUAAUGACGGUACUCAACAAGGAAGUGACGGCUAACUACGUG